AUGCGCAACUCAAAACUGAAUCCAGUUCAAUCUUGGCAGUCACCAUUCGACCAUGCACUUGCCUCCCAAAAUCGCGCUUCAUCCGGUCAGCACAAGCACCAACAACCCGCCUCAUCCACACGGCCACACCGGACAUACCUAUGCAUCACAGCGUUGACAGCCACAGCAUCCUUGACGGGCAUCUCGUCCAGCAGACUAUGGGCGGUGUCCAAAUCCCCUGCAGAGACCAUGCCUGUGAUCACUGCGUUCCAGGAAAAGUUGUUCCUUUCCGGCAUGGAGCGGAAGAGACGGAGCGCCUCGGCGUGGUCCCGGGAGUUGAGGUGGGCGGUGACGAGGGAGUUGUAG
rnacentral:rRNA from 1 species